rnacentral:tRNA from 1 species
AGGUCGGUAGUUUCAGCGGCAAAACCCCGGUCUCCAAAACCGGUAUCCUUGGUUCGAAUCCAAGUCGGCCUGCCA